rnacentral:rRNA from 1 species
CAGUAGCCGCGGGAAUACGUAGGGUGCGAGCGUUAAUCGGAAUUACUGGGCGUAAAGGGCUCGCAGGCGGUUUCUUAAGUCUGAUGUGAAAGCCCCCGGCUCAACCGGGGAGGGUCAUUGGAAACUGGGAAACUUGAGUGCAGAAGAGGAGAGUGGAAUUCCACGUGUAGCGGUGAAAUGCGUAGAGAUGUGGAGGAACACCAGUGGCGAAGGCGACUCUCUGGUCUGUAACUGACACUGAGAGACGAAAGCUAGGGGAGAAAAUGGGAUUAGAUACCCCGGUAGUCCCUGUCUCUUAUAC